GUGUCAGCCGCCGCGGUAAGACGAACCGUGCGAACGUUGUUCGGAAUCACUGGGCUUAAAGGGCGCGUAGGCGGGCCACCAAGUCCGGGGUGAAAUCUUUCGGCUUAACCGGAAAACAGCCUUGGAUACUGGCGGCCUCGAGGGAGGUAGGGGUCUGUGGAACUUCUGGUGGAGCGGUGAAAUGCGUUGAUAUCAGAAGGAACGCCGGUGGCGAAAGCGACGGACUGGACCUCCACUGACGCUGAGGCGCGAAAGCUAGGGGAGCAAACGGGAUUAGAAACCCUCGUAGUCC
rnacentral:rRNA from 1 species